rnacentral:rRNA from 1 species
UACGGGGGGGGUAAGCGUUGUUCGGAAUUACUGGGCGUAAAGCGUGCGCAGGCGGUCUUUUAAGUCAGAUGUGAAAUCCCCGGGCUUAACCUGGGAACUGCGUUUGAAACUGGAAGGCUUGAGUGUGGCAGAGGGGGGUGGAAUUCCACGUGUAGCAGUGAAAUGCGUAGAGAUGUGGAGGAACACCGAUGGCGAAGGCAGCCCCCUGGGCUAACACUGACGCUCAUGCACGAAAGCGUGGGGAGCAAACAGG